GUACACUCCUGCGGGAGGCAGCAGUGGGGAAUAUUGGACAAUGGGCGCAAGCCUGAUCCAGCCAUGCCGCGUGAGUGAUGAAGGCCCUAGGGUUGUAAAGCUCUUUCACCGGUGAAGAUAAUGACGGUAACCGGAGAAGAAGCCCCGGCUAACUUCGUGCCAGCAGCCGCGGUAAUACGAAGGGGGCUAGCGUUGUUCGGAUUUACUGGGCGUAAAGCGCACGUAGGCGGACUAUUAAGUCAGGGGUGAAAUCCCGGGGCUCAACCCCGGAACUGCCUUUGAUACUGGUAGUCUUGAGUUCGAGAGAGGUGAGUGGAAUUCCGAGUGUAGAGGUGAAAUUCGUAGAUAUUCGGAGGAACACCAGUGGCGAAGGCGGCUCACUGGCUCGAUACUGACGCUGAGGUGCGAAAGCGUGGGGAGCAAACAGGAUUAGAAACCCCUGUAGUCCCAU
rnacentral:rRNA from 1 species